UACAGAGGGGCAAGCGUUGUUCGGAAUUACUGGGCGUAAAGGGCGCGUAGGUGGCCUUCUAAGUUGAACGUGAAAUCCCUGGGCUCAACCCAGGAACUGCGUCCAAGACUGGGAGGCUUGAAUCCGGGAGAGGGAUGCGGAAUUCCAGGUGUAGCGGUGAAAUGCGCAGAUAUCUGGAGGAACACCGGUGGCGAAGGCGGCAUCCUGGACCAACACUGACACUGAGGAGCGAAGCCAGGGGAGCAAACGGG
rnacentral:rRNA from 1 species